rnacentral:misc_RNA from 1 species
CUGCAGAAUCAAAGAGAUGGUAUUUCACACUACAGAUACUACAAAAAGUGUAAAUUAUAGACAUUUCAUAUAAUUUACAUGAUCUGACACAUGAAAACAAAGAGCAAAAUAAUAGUAGAAUACAGUUUUGAUGACCUAAUACAAAAAAAUUUAUUAGGUAAAAUCAUUCUCCUGCUAAGAUGCAUCCGUUGUGAAGGUGUGUAUGUUAUCAGAACAAAAAUAGUAGCAACCCCAGCACGCUUCAUACAUAACUAUAACAAACCACAACCUUAGUAACUUAAAAAUGUGCUGCACAACAAUAAGCUUUUACCAUUAGCACAUACCUUUUCCAUUAGAGAGACAAAUAUAUUGGCAAAACAGGGAAAGGCAGGAACCAG